UACGUAGGGUGCAAGCGUUAUUCGGAAUUACUGGGCGUAAAGCGUGCGCAGGCGGCUAUGCAAGACAGAUGUGAAAUCCCCAGGCUUAACCUGGGAACUGCAUUCGAGACUGCAUUGCUAGAGUAUGGGAGAGGGAAGUGGAAUUUCCGGUGUAGCGGUGAAAUGCGUAGAUAUCGGAAGGAACAUCAGUGGCGAAAGCGACUUCCUGGACCAAUACUGACGCUCAUGUGCGAAAGCGUGGGGAGCAAACAGG
rnacentral:rRNA from 1 species